GCUAGCCGGCGAGGAUGCGGAGGGAGAGUGAGGGACCUUGAGCCGUUCCGCACGCGUCCUCAGCUCUGUGAGCCCCUCUGGCACCGCGGGGAGACGUGAAAACACACCCAGAUGAAGAGGGGUCUGACUUGUUUGAGAAUGUUGUUUGUCUCUGGAGGAGAGUUCUUUGUCCCAAGUGUCCCUCAGAAGCUCCUACUGGGUCUGAGGUGGCCCUUUCCUGUGUCCUCAUAAUGUCCAGGGCAUGUGAGAGUCUCAGAGAAAAGAGGUAAGGCAUGGAUAAGGGAGACAAGAGAUCCAAAUUGAGGCCCUGGCCAUAGAAGAAUCUGAGAGAAGAGGAAGAGAAGCUGGAGAGCCACUGGACACUUCUUCUGGAGUCUGCACACCCCAUAUGAAGUGUCUAUAGAUCAGCCAUCAGCUGAACCCAAGUCACCUGAGGUCUAGCUUUGACUUUGGGUGUAUCCAAAGGUCUCUGGAUCUUCUUUGACUUCAAAUGACUCCAUGAGACUUGGACAAUCUUUUGUAGAAUUUCUACUCAUGAAAAAAAAUGUGUUCAGGGAACACCUGCUGCCUCUCAUCUGGCUCCUCCCCUGCUAUGUGGUACCUGGAUGGUUGCAGCGAGCCAACCAGGACAUGGGUUCUACUGGUCUGGGACCCACAGUUUGCUUGUUACAUCCGUUUUAAAGUCCUCUGGAGUUGGUUAUUUCAACCUUUGAGGAGAGAUUUGAUUGGGAAGUUUUGGAAAGGACUGGACCACUUCAUACUGAAAGGGUCAUCUCACCCCUGGUCAGAGGAGGCUAUUUCUCCUUAACCUGCUAGGAUAGGAAAUACACAUUUGUUCACUGUGGCGGCUUGGAUGGAAGGCUCAUGGAUUUGAAUGCUUGCCUUUCAGUUUAUGGCACUGUUUGGGGAGGUCUAGAGAUGUGUGGCCCUGCUGAAGGAAGUAUGUCACUGUCACUGGGCUUUGAGGUUAUGAAGCCUCGUGCUGUUCCCAGUUUUUGCUCUCUCUGCUCCCUGCGGUUCAAGGUAUGAGCUCUCAACUUGCUGCUCCAGCUGUCCGACCACGAUGGUAAUGGAUUCUCAUCUUGGGGACUGCGAGCCCAAAUAAACUCUUCCUUCUGUAAGUCACUUUAGUCAUAGUGCUUUAUCACAGCAACAGAAAAGUACCCAGUAGAGUCAUGAUAUGACUCUGAUCUAUGCCCAGAUAAUGAGAACUUUUGGUAUCCUAGUGAGAUGCCUGACUAAGGAGAUCAAAGAAGGCUUCAGAAUUGGGACUGGUUGCUAGAAAGUCUGGGAUGUGAUUAGUUGAGAACAUCAGCUCCACCUCCAUCAUCUCUGGAAAUGGAAGACAGACUGGGUACUAUACUCUGUCAUAGAAAGGCCUAUAUUUGACCAAUUAUGUCUGUAAUACAACCUCAACUCAUAUCUUUGGGCCAUGCUAAUAUCCCUAAGACUCUGGGUUCCAGCUCCAGCAACAGCAAACCCCAAACAAACCAUCACUCACUGAGCCCCAGAAGAGAAGACGGUUCCAUCCAGUGAGGUUUGAGAGCUUCUGGAUUUAACACAGUCGUGUUUAGAGAGGAAUCCACUUUGAAUCCACAGCCAGAUGGUUCUGUGCUCAGGAUCUUUCAGAGCUUUUCCUAUGUGUCUGGCAAUGUGUAUUCAUUUUUUAAAAGGUUUGUUUGUUUGUUUAUUGUGUGUAUAUACAUACCAACCCCAGUGCAUGCCAUGGCAUGUGUGCGAAGAUCAAAGGACAACUUGUUGGAGUCUAUUAUCACAUGGGUUCCCAAUGACUAGACUCAGGUCUCCAGGCUUGGUAGUGAUAAUUUUUAGUCAUCUACCCACUCUGCCACCAACAACUCUCGAUUUUUAGCUGGUCAACAGAACUACAGGAGGCACCUGUAGUUGGUGUCUGGAGGAGAGUUUAGACUUGGGGGGGACCGAGCCCUCUCCCUGUGGCAUCUGCACUGAAUAUGGGAAAAUAGUGGCUAAGUUAAGGGGGUGAUAGGAGACACAGCUAGAGAGUUUGAAAAGUGGAGGGUGUGAGGAAAAAUGAGUUUGUGCCCCAGGUAUUGUGGGUAAAAGUGGAUCCUCUUACUCCACAGUCCUGUGCCAUUUUGCCACUUCUAGGUCCAUGUUCUUUCCCACAAAACUUUCUUCCUUUUUUUGAAUCUCCAACCUAGAAGCAGCUUUAACAACUGGAAGAAUUUAUGUCAAUUUAUUAGCAAGGAGAGACAGCCAAGCACACAGGAAGUCCAGUCAGCCAUGAGCCCAAGGGGGAAUGUGGUUUAGCUAGGUGGGCAAGUCAGGUGAAGAGAAGAUUCCAAACUGGGAGAGAUACUGGGGUGGCAAGGAGGAAGCCCUGCUCAAGGGACUAAAACACGGUCCAUGGUCGAGAGUGAAGACCAUGAAGAGAAGUGAGAUGACCAUGGGGUAGGGUGGGGGAGGGGAGCAGGAAUAACUCCAGAUAAGGGUUAUAGAGAUGUACCUGGAAAAGAAUGGAUGCCAGGGUGAGUGUGGACAGCUUGCGCAUGCUUGAGUGCUGACACGGACAGGAAAGAGUGAUGGCUAAGUCAGAUGUAGGAGACAGGGCCUGGUUCCUACCUAGCAAGGAAAUGGGUAGAUACAAAGGUCAGAGUUCACACAGGGGCUUGGGACAGUGACAAAGAAGUGGCAACAGAUGCUUGCAAGUGAUGGACAAAAGAAGUGGAGAGUUCACAGGGAAAAGGACAGGGAGAAGGGGACAACAUAGCAAGGAGGCACCUAGUGACACAUGACAAUUCUAGGGAGCAGCCUCUGUUUGAUGGCCUUAAUUGUGGCUGUGUACAAGAUACCAGAUCUGAGUGUGGCAGGAGACUCUCUGGUCAUUCAUCUGGUGCCCGAAAGAGGAGUUAUGUAAAUGGAGUAUGGAGCAGAAAAUCCUUCUGCAAUGCAAUGAGCAACAGAGAUAUGGCCGCUUCCAUGUUUUGGAGAAUUCUGCUGUGGUAAAAAGAACAACUUUCAAAACAUGGUUAUAGAAACUACAGCACAAUUUCAAUUUAUUUUUAAUUUGGAAAGAAUUUCAAACUGAGCUAAAAAAAGUAAAACUAUAAGUGUAUCUUUAAGUAUAUAUCUAUAAAAUUACAAAUAUAUGUGUAACCAUC
ensembl:antisense Gm26633 predicted gene, 26633